rnacentral:tmRNA from 1 species
CCCCUUCCGUCCCCGGUCCUUGGGCCCUAUAUUCGCAAUGCCGUCGCAAGACGGAUAUGGCGAUAAACGGUUGUCGGAAUAAACCCUUUGGACCCGGGGGCGGUACCCGGCGCCUCCACCAGAGCCCACCGCAGGCGGUGGGCUCUGGUGGGGGCGAAAUAGGAUCGACAGGGGCGUAAAGGACAAUUCUUCGCUCGGCAUGGUUCCGCCGUUAUCGGGCCGAUCAAUAGUUGCCAAUGACAACUAUGCUAUGGAAGUCCGUGCGGCCGCGUAAUGCGGCUUAAGGACUCCGAACCAAGUCCUGGCGGUUAGCGUCGUCAGGCGGGGCCCGGAGGCGCCUGGCAACAGAAGCCUCCACC